UACGUAGGUGGCAAGCGUUGUCCGGAAUUAUUGGGCGUAAAGCGCGCGCAGGCGGUCCUUUAAGUCUGAUGUGAAAUCUUGCGGCUUAACCGCAAGCGGUCAUUGGAAACUGGGGGACUUGAGUACAGAAGAGGAGAGCGGAAUUCCACGUGUAGCGGUGAAAUGCGUAGAUAUGUGGAGGAACACCAGUGGCGAAGGCGGCUCUCUGGUCUGUAACUGACGCUGAGGGACGAAAGCUCGGGUCACGAACCGG
rnacentral:misc_RNA from 1 species